UUCCAAAACCCGAGCCCUCGUCUCCCAUCCCCAGUAUUUCAUCCAUCUCCUUCUCUGGGGUCAUGGCUGGCCCCCUCCCCACAUUUCCCACACACAAACAUAUAGACUACACCCACACUUCACUCUCAUCCCACAGCCAAUAAGGGCCAGAUGAGCUCAAGUAUCACUGUAACACAGGGACAUAUUCUCUGAGCAGAGGCUGCAGAUUGUACACACCUUCAUCUUGGUCGUCACUGGAGCUUCUUCUCUGCCUCUCUAAGCUGCAAGGUCUCCCGCCACCAUGUCCGACACCGAGGAACUG